rnacentral:rRNA from 1 species
UACGAGGGGUGCAAGCGUUGCUCGGAAUUAUUGGGCGUAAAGCGUCCGCAGGUGGCGAUUCAAGUCUGCGGUCAAAGACUGGGGCUUAACCCUGGAAAGGCCGUGGAAACUGAAAAGCUAGAGUGCAGUAGGGGUAGAGGGAAUUCCCGGUGUAGCGGUGAAAUGCGUAGAGCUCGGGAAGAACAUCGGUGGCGAAAGCGCUCUGCUGGACUGCAACUGACACUCAGGGACGAAAGCUAGGGGAGCGAAUGGG